rnacentral:rRNA from 1 species
UACGUAGGGUGCAAGCGUUAAUCGGAAUUACUGGGCGUAAAGCGUGCGCAGGCGGUUCGCUAAGACAGAUGUGAAAUCCCCGGGCUUAACCUGGGAACUGCAUUUGUGACUGGCGGGCUAGAGUAUGGCAGAGGGGGGUAGAAUUUCACGUGUAGCAGUGAAAUGCGUAGAGAUGUGGAGGAAUACCGAUGGCGAAGGCAGCCCCCUGGGCCAAUACUGACGCUCAUGCACGAAAGCGUGGGGAGCAAAC